GGGCGCUUGGUCUAGGGGUAUGAUUUUCGCUUCGCACUUCCGCCAGGAACGCGAUAUCACUGUGAAAGGUCGUGAGUUCAAUUCUCACAGCGUCCA
rnacentral:tRNA from 1 species